CAACCCUCAAGCCUGGCUUGGUGAUGGGGCACUGCUUCUCCCCAGAAGCAGGCCCUGAAAUUCAGUGGCGAGCUCGCCAGGACCCCGAGCGCAGUAGUUAAACCCUCGCUCUGGAAGGCCCUGGCGGUGCCCUGCCGUUAAACCCCCAACUUCUGAAA
rnacentral:misc_RNA from 1 species